GACGAACGCUGGCGGCGUGCCUAAUACAUGCAAGUCGUGCGGACCUUGUUGAAAGCUUGCUUUUAAAAGGUUAGCGGCGGACGGGUGAGUAACACGUGGGCAACCUGCCUGUAAGACUGGGAUAACGCCGGGAAACCGGGGCUAAUACCAGAUCGUUUUUUCCUCCGCAUGGAGGAAAAAGGAAAGGCGGCUUCGGCUGCCACUUACAGAUGGGCCCGCGGCGCAUUAGCUAGUUGGCGGGGUAAUGGCCCACCAAGGCAACGAUGCGUAGCCGACCUGAGAGGGUGAUCGGCCACAUUGGGACUGAGACACGGCCCAGACUCCUACGGGAGGCAGCAGUAGGGAAUCUUCCGCAAUGGACGAAAGUCUGACGGAGCAACGCCGCGUGAGUGAAGAAGGCCUUCGGGUCGUAAAACUCUGUUGCCGGGGAAGAACAAGUGCCGUUCGAACAGGGCGGCGCCUGGACGGUACCCGGCCAGAAAGCCACGGCUAACUACGU
rnacentral:rRNA from 1 species